ACUCUGUAAGCUAAAUGCGGACUCCCAAGAACCCAAGAUCCUCUGAAAAACAGAGGCUCUAUUCUUGGGUCUCAAAACUCCUCCGCAGUGCGUUUCAGUUUCACAAGGCAGACAAACCGAACGUUUCGGAGAAAACAAACUCGUUGGAUGCACAGGGAGACGCGGAGUCAAUAAAACCUUUAGCCGACUUAUCGAGUGCAAAUUCAUCCGAUGCCCUCGGCGUCGGUGGCCUAUCAGCUCCUGACCCCAAAAACCCCAUUCCAGGAGAGGGCGGGGUAGAGAAGGAUGGUGAAAGUAUAGGAAAUGAAAUUUUGGUUAGUGAGACGGACGGUAAUAAGGAAGAGCCAAAGAGUCAAGGUUCGGGUGUGUCGACAUUCAAAAAAUAUAAAGAUAGAGUGUCUGAAGAAAUGGGAGACGAUGAGGAUUGGCUAAAACUGAAGCAAAGUGCGAGCAGCCAAGUGCACUCAAUUUUACAGGAUGAAGAAAGUGAGGAGAAGUCACAAGAGAGUGAGAGCGAGCAGUCUGCUUGUCUUGACAACCUAGAUCAAGAUGACCUUGUGGCGGCGGCGGCAGAAUUUGUCAGCUCGAGCGAAGAGGAAGGAGAUGAAGGGGAGGAAUCGGAGGUACACGAGUUCGGCAAGCUGGAGGCCAAGUCUAAAAAAUUGGACGAGCGCCGUCGAAGAAUGAGAGAGGAGGCGCAAACAGAAUUCCAGGAGCAGUUGGACGACCAACAAAGCGACGAUUCGAUUUGUGAACAAAAGUUUGAAUUCCCCAGUAAGUCAGCUCUGAAAAAAGAGAAGGAGUUGAUGGUGGAUUUGUCAUAUGUCAAAGAAAGAAUCAGACAGGUUUUGCAUAUUUUGUCUAAUUUCAAACAGAACCGGGAUCCGCUUCAUUCACACAAAGAAUAUCAGGCAUUGCUGAGGAACGAUCUUGGAUAUUAUUAUGGAUAUAACGAUUUUUUGCUUCGUAAAUUGUCGACCAUUUUUUCGUCCAUGGAAAUGGUAGAAUACAUGGAAACCAGUGAAGCAGACCGCCCCCUGACCAUUCGAACAAACACUUUGAAGACUCGUAGAAGCGAUCUUAUGAAAGCUCUGGCGGCGAAGGGCAUCAAAGCAGAGCCGAUAAAAUGGAAUAAGGAUUUGUUGCAAAUUUUUGAGUCGUCCGUACCAAUCACCUCAUUGACGGAAUACAUGGCUGGGCACUAUAUACUUCAGUCUGCCUCGUCAAUCACGGCAGUUAGCUCGCUUGACCCGCAGCCAGACGAGCGCAUUUUGGAUAUGUGCGCUGCGCCGGGUGCGAAAACAACACACAUAGCACAGCUUAUGAAAAACACAGGAAUGAUUGUGGCAAAUGACAUCAAUCCUCAACGAAUGAAUUCGUUGGUGGCAAAUUUACAUCGUUUGGGCGUUUGCAACACGAUAGUUACGAACUACGAUGGUGGGAAAUUUCCCAAGAUAAUGAAGGGAUUCGAUCGAGUGUUGCUUGAUGCCCCGUGCACUGGAACAGGCAUUAUCUCUCGGGAUACAAGCAUCAAAACGUCGAAAAGCAAAAAAGAUCUGAACGUUCUAGUGUUGACCCAAAAGCGACUCUUGCUAGCGGCCAUCGACAGCGUUGAUCCGCACAGCAGAUCUGGGGGUAUUAUCGUAUACUCGACUUGUAGUGUGCUUGCAGAAGAGAACGAAUUUGUCAUCAAUUAUGCACUGAAAAAAAGGUUCGUCAAGGUUGUUGAUUCAGGAAUGGAAUUCGGGAAACCCGGAAUCGUAUCCCACCGCGGCAUCAGACUUCACGACACCAUUACGAGGGCACGCAGAUACUAUCCACAGACGUAUAACAUGGAUGGAUUUUUUGUAUGCAGGCUGAGGAAGCUAAAGAACGGACCUAGGGAUUCAGCAGAAACAGCGAAAAACGAAAACCUAAAGAAAAAGAGAAAUCGAAUGGAAACAACCAAGCGUCAAAAAGACGAAUUCCUCGUUCUGGACGAAGAGGAACAGCAGCGAAAUCCCAAAAAGACCAAAGCGCAAUAAAAAAAAUUUUUUUUUAAUAAAAAUUGUCACUUUGAUUUUUUAUUGCAUUUUCCGUCCUUGUGUCAAGAUCAUGCACUUUCUGAGAGCCCGGUUGAAUCGACCAUUUCGUGCUCUUCAAAAAUGUAAUUUUCGUCUGUUGUCGACUUCUAUUCCGGGGAAACUAGCUCAAUCGCGUAGUGCCUCUAUCUAUAGGCCUGCGGUUGAAUACCCCCCUUUUCGGUCUCCCAUCGCCAGCAAACAUCUCAUGCAACCCGUAUAUCCAAAAUCCCUCGAAGAAAUGAACACGCAAGUCUUAGGCAUCGAAAGAGACAUGGAUCGCUACGUGUUGUCUGGAAACUAUGUAGAGGCGUGUUGCUUAUUUGAGAGUCGAAUUGAAACGCAUCCGAGCAUACGUGUCCAACCGAAGAUCGUGAUGUUGGCCGUUCUUGCCUAUGACAGGUUAAACUCGCUCGAAAAUAUUGAAGAAAUAGUGAAUUUCAUAGAGGCUCAAGAAAAGGUGACCUAUUCCAUCUAUGAAGUGCUCCUGAAGGUGUAUACGUGUCGUGGAAUGGUGUCUGAAGCGCUAGAGAUAACAAGGCGCAUUCGACAGGCGGGAUAUGUGCAGACUGUGAAAAUGUAUUAUUUGCUGGCUAAAAUGUUCGCGGCGUUGGAUGACACCUUGAAUCUGGAGAAAAUCAGGCAGGAGAUGGAAAUUUGGAUGCCGGAGCAUUUGUCCACGUUCUAUUCAAUUAUUGCGAGAAAUCACUUAGACAGAAAGCGUCUUCACUUGGCGCAGGACGUCAUGACGCAGAUGUACCUAAAACAGAUCGGAUUCGAACCUUCUGUCUUUGUGAGUCUGCUGCAUUUGCGAAUCGAGAUGAAGAACCCGGAUGCGGUCACGCAGACUUUGAAGGAAAUGGAGGUCUUGAAGAUCAGGCCCAAGAGCGAUUUCUACAGCACCUUGAUAUGGGUUUUGCUGGACGCCAAGCAGGUCGACAGGGUUUUUGUCAUACUCGAUUACAUGAUUGCACAUAGGAUCAAACGCAACACCUCCAUGUAUGUAGUCCUUAUAGAUAAGCUGGUCAAGAUGGGCGAGAUAUCUACGGCUAUGGUCGCGUUCGAGAGGCAUUGGGGCGACGUGUAUGCACCGCUGAAUCACAUGUCUUUCAGCAUUAUGUGCACGGCGUUGGACGGACAAGAAGACGACAAGCUGGUGAUGGUAUUGUUGGAGCGGCUGUACGAGACGGGCAUGAUAAUAGAGCCGUUUGCUAUAACCAAAAUAACGCUCGCUCUGAUUGAAUUCGAGCGAGUCGAUUUGGCGUUGGAACUUAUCAAGAUGGUGGAAGAGAAGCUGUACAACGGAAAAUACCCCACGAAACCAGGAAUUAUUAAUUUGGUGUGUUUCGUACUGAUGAAGUACGGCGAGCCUCAGGAUGCUGCGCAUUUUGCCAGAUGGACUCUGAGCAAGAGGUUGCCGCCUGCGAGAAUGAUCAUCAGCGUUGUAUGUGCAUGGCUUCGUCAGGAUUUGAACCAGCGAGAAUUUGACUUGGACACCUUAUGUGAUUUAAUUAUAGAGCACUCUAGUGUUUUGCAAAUCCCGACUUUUUACUCUUCUAGGCUCCUGGAUUUGCUGAUAGAGGGUAAGAGGUCCGAAUUGGCCCAGAGACUGUUCGACGGAAUCAUCGGCACACCGGUUCAGCCGGACUUUCGAAGAAUUGGAAAUUACAGCCGUAUCAUGGAAAAACUCGCGUUUUGUGGAAACAGAAAACCGCUGGUUGUGUCAGACACGACAGCAGAGCAUCAGCAAGAAGAUGAAGCAAACUCAGCCGUGAGAGAAUCACGCCCAGCCACAACAAAAUGGGCGACGUUUCCUACCGACACCGCGUCGCAGGGCGACGUUGUCAAUGUUCUCUCGGAAGAGGAGAUCAUUUCAAGUGAAGAAAACAUAAGUUGGUUGACCCCAGAACUUUUGUACCAAGACUCUAAAAAUAACUCGUCGGAAAAAGUGUGCGAAUGAGGCAGACCAACAAGUGUACAAACCCUAACAACACUCAGGUCUUUUAUAAAUCGAAUCAAUGGAAGAAACGGCUGUUUAUCAACCUGUUUGCAACGCUCUAACUUUCCGAGAAACGUAAUCAUGCACGCGAUUCAAUCUCGUCUCAUUGGCUCUACUUGCGGCUAUCACCUGAUAUUGUCCUUUACACAAUGCAAGUGAUCUCUGAAAUUUGCAGACGGGUGGUUUCCAUGCAUAUGGUGGUCCGCUGGCUCCCUUGUAGCCAUCAUACUAACAGAAUUUAAUGUUUUAAGUAAUCCUAGCCGAACCCUGGCUUCGGACUGUUCCUCCAGGUAAUGAGCCAGAAUUUCAUUAACUGUCUUCUUAUAUUCUGGCUCCGAAUCCAAAAUGGCAACAAUAUCUUCACUAGAGUAUUCGACUUGGCCCAGCGUGUAAUUUUCUAACUUGCCUAAAUCUUUGGGCUGCACCUUCGACGAGUACGCGGAUCGAAUUGCAUACCGGAAUUCAAUCCAUUCCUCUAGAGAAUACAAUUUAGGCACGUUCAUUUGUUGCUCGUUGACGCUGCGAUUGAAGAAUUGCAAAAAAAAAAAAAAAAGUAC